GCCAGGCAUGGAGGCGCAUGCCUGUAAUCCCAGUGGCUUGGGAGGCUGAGAUAGGAGGAUCGCUAGUUCAAAGCCAGCUUCAGCAACAGCCAGGCACUAAGCAACUCAGUUGAGACCCUAUUUCUA
rnacentral:sRNA from 1 species